ensembl:lncRNA
GAGUAAAACUAACAUGUUAGUGCUGUGAUGAUUACUCCAAAAUUUAUAUCUCCAUCCUGCUUUAUCUUCCAGCUCCAACUACAUAUUCCAACCUGCUUGCUGUACAUUUUCCCACGGGAAGCCUGCCGGAGUCUCAAACUCGGCACAUCCAAAUUCAGUUCCGCUCCACCUCUGCUACCUCUGCCCCUCACCUGAAAGUAGGCUGGAGCUCUGUUUCUGAUAAAGAAACCAUAUCCUCUGAGUCAGGUCAGCAAACUACAGCCCACAGGCCAUGUUCAGCCCACUGCCGAUCGUAUGGAACCGUCAAACUCAGGGCUCCCACUGAUUCUAUAUUAUGGAGGGUGAGCACAUCUGAAAACCAAGAGAUAGGCUGAAUUUCUGAACGGACUACUGUUGAACACAUUGUAUGGAAAACAAGGUAAGAGAAAGACUUUGUGAGAAGAAAAGAGAUUUUUGUUUGAUUUGUUUUGUUUGGGGAAUUUGAGAAGCUUGAGUUUUCAAAGCAAGAAGAAAGCUAGAAGCUAG